rnacentral:rRNA from 1 species
GACAGAGCCUCGAGCGUUAGGCGGAAUCACUGGGCUUAAAGCGUGUGUAGGCGGGCCCGUAAGUGUCUUGUGAAAUCCCACGGCUCAACCGUGGAACUGCUGGGCAUACUGCGGGUCUUGGGCCAACUAGGGGCAGCCGGAACAAGCGGUGGAGCGGUGAAAUGCGUAGAUAUCGCUUGGAACGCCGAAGGUGAAAACAGGCUGCUGGGGUUGCGCCAACGCUGAGACGACGAAAGCCAGGGGAGCAAACGGG